GUGCUCGCUUUGACAGCACAUACACUAAACUUGGAGCGAUACGGAGAUUAGCAUAAUCCCUGCGCAUAGAUGACACGCAAAUUGUGAGGGAUUCCGUAUUUUU